CCUACGGGGGGCAGCAGUGGGGAAUAUUGGACAAUGGGGGGAACCCUGAUCCAGCCAUGCCGCGUGUGUGAAGAAGGCCCUCGGGUUGUAAAGCACUUUCAGUGAGGAAGAACGCCUGGUGGUUAAUACCCAUCAGGAAAGACAUCACUCACAGAAGAAGCACCGGCUAACUCCGUGCCAGCAGCCGCGGUAAUACGGAGGGUGCGAGCGUUAAUCGGAAUUACUGGGCGUAAAGCGCGCGUAGGUGGCUUGAUAAGCCGGUUGUGAAAGCCCCGGGCUCAACCUGGGAACGGCAUCCGGAACUGUCAAGCUAGAGUGCAGGAGAGGAAGGUAGAAUUCCCGGUGUAGCGGUGAAAUGCGUAGAGAUCGGGAGGAAUACCAGUGGCGAAGGCGGCCUUCUGGACUGACACUGACACUGAGGUACGAAAGCGUGGGUAGCAAACAGGAUUAGAUACCCCUGUAGUC
rnacentral:rRNA from 1 species